rnacentral:rRNA from 1 species
GAUAAACGCUGGCGGCGUGCCUAAUACAUGCAAGUCGAGCGAACGGACGAGAAGCUUGCUUCUCUGAUGUUAGCGGCGGACGGGUGAGUAACACGUGGAUAACCUACCUAUAAGACUGGGAUAACUUCGGGAAACCGGAGCUAAUACCGGAUAAUAUUUUGAACCGCAUGGUUCAAAAGUGAAAGACGGUCUUGCUGUCACUUAUAGAUGGAUCCGCGCUGCAUUAGCUAGUUGGUAAGGUAACGGCUUACCAAGGCAACGAUGCAUAGCCGACUUGAGAGGGUGAUCGGCCACACUGGAACUGAGACACGGUCCAGACUCCUACGGGAGGCAGCAGUAGGGAAUCUUCCGCAAUGGGCGAAAGCCUGACGGAGCAACGCCGCGUGAGUGAUGAAGGUCUUCGGAUCGUAAAACUCUGUUAUUAGGGAAGAACAUAUGUGUAAGUAACUGUGCACAUCUUGACGGUACCUAAUCAGAAAGCCACGGCUAACUACGUGCCAGCAGCCGCGGUAAUACGUAGGUGGCAAGCGUUAUCCGGAAUUAUUGGGCGUAAAGCGCGCGUAGGCGGUUUUUUAAGUCUGAUGUGAAAGCCCACGGCUCAACCGUGGAGGGUCAUUGGAAACUGGAAAACUUGAGUGCAGAAGAGGAAAGUGGAAUUCCAUGUGUAGCGGUGAAAUGCGCAGAGAUAUGGAGGAACACCAGUGGCGAAGGCGACUUUCUGGUCUGUAACUGACGCUGAUGUGCGAAAGCGUGGGGAUCAAACAGGAUUAGAUACCCUGGUAGUCCACGCCGUAAACGAUGAGUGCUAAGUGUUAGGGGGUUUCCGCCCCUUAGUGCUGCAGCUAACGCAUUAAGCACUCCGCCUGGGGAGUACGACCGCAAGGUUGAAACUCAAAGGAAUUGACGGGGACCCGCACAAGCGGUGGAGCAUGUGGUUUAAUUCGAAGCAACGCGAAGAACCUUACCAAAUCUUGACAUCCUUUGACAACUCUAGAGAUAGAGCCUUCCCCUUCGGGGGACAAAGUGACAGGUGGUGCAUGGUUGUCGUCAGCUCGUGUCGUGAGAUGUUGGGUUAAGUCCCGCAACGAGCGCAACCCUUAAGCUUAGUUGCCAUCAUUAAGUUGGGCACUCUAAGUUGACUGCCGGUGACAAACCGGAGGAAGGUGGGGAUGACGUCAAAUCAUCAUGCCCCUUAUGAUUUGGGCUACACACGUGCUACAAUGGACAAUACAAAGGGCAGCGAAACCGCGAGGUCAAGCAAAUCCCAUAAAGUUGUUCUCAGUUCGGAUUGUAGUCUGCAACUCGACUACAUGAAGCUGGAAUCGCUAGUAAUCGUAGAUCAGCAUGCUACGGUGAAUACGUUCCCGGGUCU